ACUUUCCUGUGGCUCAGUUGGUAGAGCAUUGUGCUAUCAUUGUGCUAUCAACACAAAGGUUCUCAGUUUAAAUCCCAGGGAAAGCA